GGGUGUGGCGGAAUUGGUAGACGCACUUGGUUUAGGUCCAAGCGCCGCAAGGCGUGGGGGUUCGAGUCCCUUCACCCGCACCACGAUA
rnacentral:tRNA from 1 species